rnacentral:lncRNA from 1 species
UCCUCCUCAUCCCCUCCCUCUUAAAGAGAAUUCAACGUUGAAUUAAAAUCGUCUUCGCCUACAUUAAAAGGAGAUAAGUCAACAACAUUAAAAGUAGAACUCACACCUUACUCACCAGGUAGAUCAAUCUUGUAGGCAUUUCCAUUGAUCCUUUCAAGCACUCGGAAAAGUCCAUCACCCCUUGGUAAAAGUUUAGACUUUCUUUGAGUUGGAAAUCUUUC